rnacentral:rRNA from 1 species
AGAGUUUGAUCCUGGCUCAGGACGAACGCUGGCGGCACGCUUAACACAUGCAAGUCGAACGAGAGAAGAGGAGCUUGCUUUUCUGAUCUAGUGGCGGACGGGUGAGUAACACGUGAGCAAUCUGCCUUUCAGAGGGGGAUACCGAUUGGAAACGAUCGUUAAUACCGCAUAACAUAAUUGAACCGCAUGAUUUGAUUAUCAAAGAUUUAUCGCUGAAAGAUGAGCUCGCGUCUGAUUAGCUAGUUGGUAAGGUAACGGCUUACCAAGGCGACGAUCAGUAGCCGGACUGAGAGGUUGAUCGGCCACAUUGGGACUGAGACACGGCCCAGACUCCUACGGGAGGCAGCAGUGGGGAAUAUUGCACAAUGGAGGAAACUCUGAUGCAGCGAUGCCGCGUGAGGGAAGAAGGUUUUAGGAUUGUAAACCUCUGUCUUCAGGGACGAAAAAAGACGGUACCUGAGGAGGAAGCUCCGGCUAACUACGUGCCAGCAGCCGCGGUAAUACGUAGGGAGCGAGCGUUGUCCGGAAUUACUGGGUGUAAAGGGAGCGUAGGCGGGAUCGCAAGUCAGAUGUGAAAACUAUGGGCUUAACCCAUAAACUGCAUUUGAAACUGUGGUUCUUGAGUGAAGUAGAGGUAAGCGGAAUUCCUAGUGUAGCGGUGAAAUGCGUAGAUAUUAGGAGGAACAUCAGUGGCGAAGGCGGCUUACUGGGCUUUAACUGACGCUGAGGCUCGAAAGCGUGGGGAGCAAACAGGAUUAGAUACCCUGGUAGUCCACGCCGUAAACGAUGAUUACUAGGUGUGGGGGGACUGACCCCUUCCGUGCCGCAGCAAACGCAAUAAGUAAUCCACCUGGGGAGUACGACCGCAAGGUUGAAACUCAAAGGAAUUGACGGGGGCCCGCACAAGCAGUGGAGUAUGUGGAUUAAUUCGAAGCAACGCGAAGAACCUUACCAGGUCUUGACAUCGUAUGCAUAGCUCAGAGAUGAGUGAAAUCUCUUCGGAGACAUAUAGACAGGUGGUGCAUGGUUGUCGUCAGCUCGUGUCGUGAGAUGUUGGGUUAAGUCCCGCAACGAGCGCAACCCUUACUGUUAGUUGCUACGCAAGAGCACUCUAGCAGGACUGCCGUUGACAAAACGGAGGAAGGUGGGGAUGACGUCAAAUCAUCAUGCCCCUUAUGACCUGGGCCUCACACGUACUACAAUGGCUGUCAACAGAGGGAAGCAAAGCCGCGAGGUGGAGCGAACCCCUAAAAGCAGUCUUAGUUCGGAUUGUAGGCUGCAACCCGCCUACAUGAAGUCGGAAUUGCUAGUAAUCGCAGAUCAGCAUGCUGCGGUGAAUACGUUCCCGGGCCUUGUACACACCGCCCGUCACGCCAUGGGAGUCGGUAACACCCGAAGCCUGUAGUCUAACCGCAAGGAGGACGCAGUCGAAGGUGGGAUUGAUGACUGGGGUGAAGUCGAAACAAGGUA